rnacentral:lncRNA from 1 species
AGCAAGGCCCUGGGCUCAGUCCCCAGUACCACAGGGGAUUGGGAACUCACUUGAGAUAGUUGAUGCAAAUUCUAAAGCACUGCCCUUACUAACUUUUCCUUGGUGGAAACCAGCUUUUUUUUUUUUUUUAAUGGUUCCAGAGAUUAAACCCAGGGGUACUUAACCACUGAGCCACAUCCCCAAGCCCUUUUUUGUAUUUUAUUUAGAGACAGGGUCUCACUAAAUUGCUUAGGGCCUUGCUCAGUUGCUGAUGCUGGCUUUGAACUGUGUGUGAUCCACCUGCUUUAGCCUUCUGAGCCGCUGGGAUUACAGUACUAUGCCACCACGCUCGACAGAAAUCUUCAUUCUCUUUUUUUUUAAUAUUUAUUUUUAUUUAGUUGUAGCUGGACACAAUACCUUUAUUUAUUUUUAAUGUAGUAUUGAGGAUCGAACCCAGGGCCUUGCAUGUGCUAGGCAAGCGCUCUUCUGCUGAGCCACAUCCCCAGCCCCUAAAAUCUUCAUUCUAACACAGCACUCUAGAUGAUUCUGAAAUAUUACCCAGAGGGGCCCCCCCCUUUCUAUUUUAAAAGAAUCAUGAAUAUAAAUCCAUCUGGGAAGUUCCUUAAAAUUAAACCUUUCCUACUUAAGACUUAUGGAAAUAUGCAUCUGUUGAUCAUCAAUUCCUGGACUAGAUUCUUUUUCAAUGUAAGGGCUGGUUGAAAGUGCCUUCACUAGACUGCCUGGGUAAUGAUUAAAAUUAGUGUUACAUCAACUUAAGUAGACACGAACAUAGAGAUUAAUUCUUUAAAUACCAUUUGAUUGAUGCAGAAAUAUAUUUUAAAUGUGGCUUGUUUAUUCAUAUUAAGUUAUCUUGCAUUAAAUGUAAGUCAAGUUUCUUCUGAUACCUUGCUUAUAAUUCAAAAGUAUCAGAUUGUUGGCUGUGUAACAUGACAUUUCUAUUACUCAUACUGAAUAUUUAACUAUGUGCAGGUACUUUGUCAAGUGUUUUACAUUUUAUUUCAUUUAAUCUUAUUUCCUCUUGACAGGAACUAAGACACAAGGUUGAUCAACUUGUGCAAGGUUUCACAGCUAGGGAGUGCUAAAAGUGUUACAUCUUUAGGCAUUCUGGUUUGUAUUCUUAAACAUUUAGGCUAUACUAUUUUGUGGAAGGUGUGAUGAUUACGAAUUCAUAAAAUAAUGAAAUUCUCAAAUGAUAG